UAGAAAUGAUAGCAUUUAGUUUAUGGUUUGAACUGGAUUGAAAUUGACUCAUUAGCUUAAUGGAAAAACUAGUUAAUUGUUAAGGGAUUUUAGAAGUAAUGUUAAUGGGAUGUUGGUGUUAGUUGAUUAUUUUGCUUGACUAAAAAGAAGAUAUUGAUGAUAGUUAGGAUUUUCAUUGUUAAUUAGUUAGAAAUUGAAAUUUCAUUGAACCAAAAUAUUAUAGGUUAAAAGAGGCCAAUUAGGAAGACAGUUAGUGUUGUGCUAUCCUAUUUGAUGACUGAUGUUGGUAUUGCAUUGGUGAAACUUGGCUUGGCGUGGCAUGUCAUCAUGGUGAUGGAGGCAUCAUUAAGGUGUGGCAUGACAUCAAGAACGAGAAGAUAUUUUUGAAGACACUUGAGGCACGAAGAUGGAUGAUCUUGAGGGAAAAGUAGGAAUAGGUGAUCAGUUUGACUUUGGUCAGCUAUCUGACCAAAAGUCAACUUUUUGUCAAAAUGUGAUUUUUUUAGUAAUAUUUGUAACCUUGGAUUUUGUAAUGUAGUUUUGGAUGUUCAAAAUGUGAAUUGGACCUUUGAAUGAAA